GAGUUUGAUCCUGGGCUCAGGGAUGAAACGCUGGCGGCACGCUUAACACAUGCAAGUCGAGCGGAGAAGCAGCUUCGGGCUAUUUCUUAGCGGCGGACGGGUGAGUAACACGUGGGUAACCUACCCCAUACAGGGGGAUAACGUAUAGAAAUGUACGCUAAUACCGCAUAAGCCAACAGGGAGGCAUCUUCUGGUUGGAAAAGCGCUAGUGGUAUGGGAUGGGCCCGCGUAUGAUUAGCUAGUUGCGAGGUAGAGCCCACCAGGCAACGAUCAGUAGCCGGUCUGAGAGGAUGGACGGCCACAGUUGGGACUGGAGACACGGCCCAGACUCCGUACGGGAGGCAGCAGGUGGGGAAUAUUGCACAAGUGGGGGAACCCUGAUGCAGCGAUGCCGCGUGAAGGAAGAAGUAUUUCGGUAUGUAAACUUCUAUCAGCAGGGAAGAAAGACAGUACCUGAAUAAGCAGCCCGGCUAACUACGUGCC
rnacentral:rRNA from 1 species